rfam:Ovis aries breed Texel chromosome 10, whole genome shotgun sequence.
UGGCUCAGACGGUAAAGCGUCUGCCUGCAAUGCGGGAGACCUGGGUUCGAUUCCUGG